ACUAAUUGAAUAAUAGUACACAGAGUCACUCCAGCAGAUACUAACCAUAGUUCUAUUGUACUCACUCAGCUCCUCACUCCAAUCACUCCCUUUGCGGCUCACAUCUGAAUGCGAUCGGCCGGCGGCGACGACUUCGAUUCCAACCAACGUCUUGAUUUUUCAUCCCAAAUCUUAAAUCUUAGAAUGAGAGAGCAGCAAUGGAGUAAAAGAAGGUUGAUCAAAAGGUUUUACGUUUGGCAGAGGAACAGAAGAAGGCAAAAGAAACUCUCCGUCAAGAGAACAUAGAGCUGCAAAAGAAACUCGACUUAAAGCAAGCGCUAGAGUUGGAGAUCGAACGUCUCACGGGCUAUGCAAGUAACAAAACACAUGGGAGAGGGAGAGGGCCAAGAUGUGAAGAAAAAAUUAGACAUGCUCGAAGAGAGCCUAAUUGAGAAAAAAGAAGAACUGGAAGCUCUUGAAGCUUGAAUCAAGCUCUUGUUGUUAAAGAGCAAAAGGCAAAUGUUGAGUUAAAAGAUGCCAGGAAGGAGUUGAUCAAUGUAAGUGCCAGGAAGGAGUUGAUCAAUAUUACAACGUGAUGAACAAAUUGAAGAUCUACGGAUGUUCGUGGCACCCGCUCGGCCUCGAGAGUGUUUCAGGUGAUGGAUUGUUGAAAUGUUCGGAAGAUGCACGGUGCCUAUCUCAAAGGCCUCAAUCCCUUUCAUUCCGGGAUGGGGGUUGAGUCUUAAGAGUUAUCAUUGUGCUCCGGAUCCACUUUAGUCGCUCUUGUACUAGUCUAGACCAGGUCGUGGGAAUAGAAAUAAGUCAUUGUAUUUUAUUUAUCCAUUGUAAUCACUGCUGCUAUUUGGGUUAAUAUAUUGAUUUGAUUUCCGCUGUUAAUUAUUCAUAUAUUGAAGAAAAUGAAUUUUUAUUCCUUACUUGGAAAAUGUGUUAUUUUGAUUGAGAAUUCUCCUAUCGAGGUGGGAAUGGUAGGUGCCCGCGCAAUUCUAAAUUGGG